rnacentral:rRNA from 1 species
CGGACGGGUGAGUAAUGUCUGGGAAACUGCCUGAUGGAGGGGGAUAACUGCUGGAAACGGUAGCUAAUACCGCAUAACGUCGCAAGACCAAAGAGGGGGACCUUCGGGCCUCUUGCCAUCGGAUGUGCCCAGAUGGGAUUAGCUAGUAGGUGGGGUAACGGCUCACCUAGGCGACGAUCCCUAGCUGGUCUGAGAGGAUGACCAGCCACACCGGAACUGAGACACGGUCCAG